rnacentral:misc_RNA from 1 species
UCAUUUGUACCUUCAAGCUAUGCUUGGUGUUGGGUGUUUGUCCUCUCCCCUGCGUUUGGACUCGCCUUAAAGUCAUUGGCAGCCUGUAUAUUGGUUUUGAGCGCAGCACAUUUUGCGUCUUGCAUCUAUUUAUACUAGCAUCCAUCAAGCCCUUUAUCACUUUUGACCUCGGAUCAGGUAGGGAUACCCGCUGAACUUAA